rnacentral:lncRNA from 1 species
CAAGCACCAAUAUGCCGAAGGAUGACAUGACAAAUGCUAUGGGCAACAGAAAGAGGAAGUAUGCACCUCCCUUGCAAUCAUUCAGCAGUUUGAUUUAUGAACUUGUCAUUUGUCUAUGCACUGUUUUCUUUCCUCGUUACUUUGUGUGUGCAAUCAAAUCAUAAGUGAUUCUAUCAGAACUGUUAUUUCUUUUUUUUCCCUAUCACUACCAGCAUAGCUUAUAGUGACAUGGAUUGAUCUUUGCAAACUAACGGUUCAGUUAUAUCGCCUAGCCCUAAUGCGAAUGGUUUUUAUUUUUUUCUGAAUGUAUUUAGUUACUAAUAAUCAUAAUCAAUUUCAUAAAUGCUUUUUUUCCUCCUUUAGCAUUGCAACACUAUGUUAUUUAUGCACCUUAUUCAUUUUUUAUUUUGUUUCUCUUGCCAGGAAAAGAACCAGAUGCAGCAGCAUAGCAGGUACUUCUCUUUCCUCCUAACCCUCUUUGUCAUAACUGAACACAAGAAUGCACGUACAUGCAUACAUGGAUUCAAAUAAAACUGCAUUGCGAUUCCUUUUACACUCCUUCAAACUUCUCUUUAUUUUGACUUCUG